GAUGAACGCUAGCUACAGGCUUAACACAUGCAAGUCGAGGGGAAACGCCAUCGAGAGCUUGCUUUUGAUGGGCGUCGACCGGCGCACGGGUGAGUAACGCGUAUCCAACCUGCCCAUCACUUGGGAAUAACCUUGCGAAAGUAAGACUAAUACCCAAUGACAUCCCACGAAGACAUCUGAAUGGGAUUAAAGAUUUAUCGGUGAUGGAUGGGGAUGCGUCUGAUUAGCUUGUUGGCGGGGUAACGGCCCACCAAGGCAACGAUCAGUAGGGGUUCUGAGAGGAAGGUCCCCCACAUUGGAACUGAGACACGGUCCAAACUCCUACGGGAGGCAGCAGUGAGGAAUAUGGGUCAAUGGGCGAGAGCCUGAACCAGCCAAGUAGCGUGCAGGAUGACGGCCCUAUGGGUUGUAAACUGCUUUUAUAAGGGAAUAAAGUGGGUCUCGGGAGACUUUUUGCAUGUACCUUAUGAAUAAGGACCGGCUAAUUCCGUG
rnacentral:rRNA from 1 species